UCCCCUUGUGUUUUUGUUCAACUGGUAGACAUAGGCAGAGAAGACAGGUGAAAAAAUAAAUGCUCAUUUGCAACUCAAAAUUCACAUUCAGUAUGAGUUUUGAUACAUACAAGAAGAAAUGAU